GGUAUUAUUUCUCUCUCUCCCGUUUUUCCCUACCUUUCUAUCUUCCUAUUUCCGUUUUUUUUUCCUAUUUGCUAUUCCCGAUCAGAAUUGAUCCUUGGUGGAAUCCUUGGAAAUUCCAGAUCUACAUCCCUUCUUACAAGAAGUUUCCAAUCUUCUUUCUUCAUCUCUCCAUAGAACAGUCCUGUUCUAUAUUAAAAAGUCAAAUUGAUGGAAAGAAAAAGAUGUUUGCCUUAAUAAGCAAAGUGGUGAAAGUCCUUUUGUGAUGAGGCUUUAACAAAUAUUGUGAUGAAAACCACCUUUCAAAGACAUUUGCCUAUAUGGCUGGAAUUUUACCAUUACUUUAUCCCCUACUUCAAAGGUAAUAGGUGUUAUGUUCUUAUCCGCGACAUUUUUCGUGUUAUUUUGUGCCUUUGCCAUAUUCUGUUUGACUAAUUUAAUUAUUUUUUCUCUUCUAGAUAGUUCCACAUCUACAGUCAACUGUUUUGAAUGCCCUGCUACGUAAUUUGGAAAAUCAGGAGGAUCCCUACCAUACAAAGCUCAAAAAGAUGUCAUUGCCAACGAAGUGUGAAAUGAUGUAAACUACCAGAGUUCUGCCCAAGGAAGAAUCUCUAGCCAUUGCCUCGGUUUUUCAAGGAUCAUCGCUCUCAGGUAGUGCUCUAUUGUCUUAUUAACUAUCCCUGUAUAUCCAUUAAUGAUCCCUCUGUUUUAUCAUCCCCAAAACAUCUAGAUAACUCAUCUUCUGCUAGAUUCUCUUUUCCAGUUUUAUAGAGUAUUUCGAAUCAAAGCACAACAAUUUAUAUAAAAAAACUCUUGCUGUUCCAAAAUUUAAUAACAUGUGUGACAAUUUUUUCUAACUUCCGUGGUAUGUUCUGAUUAUAAAGUGCCUCUCCAAUAGGUAGUGGUGCCACUUUGCCAUUGCUCGAGUAACUGUGGAUAAUUUCUUUCUUAUGUUGAUGUUGCUCUUCUUCUAGCAGUCAACUUCUUGUUGUAAUACGCAAUUAGGUGACAUUACUGCAUAAGAAUUAAGAACUGC
rnacentral:lncRNA from 1 species